ensembl:lncRNA
CAAAAACAACCACUUAUAACAUCUGACAGCAACAUUCAGGCUGUGCAGAGAAUCACCCCCUUUAUUCUAAAUUACAGUCCUAAUCCACAGAACGUCAAGGCACCUGGUGAUUAGCCAUGCUACCACUCAGUACAGAGGAAAAAAGGAAAGAGAGGAAGGAAGCAUGAAAUGUACUUUGCAUCAUCCAAACAAAGGAUCUGAGUGGACUGGCGUCAGGUUUUGUGGACUUCAGAAAAGGACACAAAAAUAGGUGGAAUUAAAGGAAACACAAUGUGCACACUGUAGAGAAAUUCAUAGUUUAUUGAAACGCAAAAGCAUAUGUAUUUCAUUUGGGCACUUUAUGAUUCUUAAUGUCUUUUUAUGUGUAAAUAUUGUUAGUGUCUUCUGGAGUGAGCCAAAGUUAACUUAUCAUGGCUGAGGUGGUUAAUGUCAAAGCUCUGAAAGAGGGAAGUGAUAUUCUUGUUAGUUACUGUAAGAUUGUAGCAUUAGCUGGUAGCAUUCGCAUGACUAAUUUAAACUUCUAAUUAACAAACAACUUGAUAAGACUAAGCAUGAACUACAUGCUACACAGCAGGAAGACUAGUGAAAUACAGUACAUUGGGUUAAGACCCAAUGAUAGUGGGGGUCAAAAUAUGUAGCAAAUGUAUUUAGAUAAUGAUAAAGGUGACUAAUUGUUUUUUUUUUCUAAAUUAAUAAAACAUUCUAAUAUGAAGAUUUUAAGCCAGUUUAUUUCAUUAAUUAAUUUAUUGUUUUUGGGUUUUUUUUACUUUGAAUGAAAAUUUCAGAACCAAAUUUUUAUUAAAUCUGCUUUUAAUUUAAUCAAAUCACCCAAUUUGGAGCAAUUUUACUCUAAAAAGGGGCCUCUAAAAUUGCCUCUCUUUUGCCAGUAGCAGUGUUGCAGGGAUAUUAAUGCUGCAUUUAGUUCCAAACUGUUUAACAAAAUUCUGUAAAGCAAUAAUCAGAAAGCAUCCACUCACUGUAUUUGUCUGUUACUUGACAGAAAAAUGACAUGAGUAAGUAGUGAUUUUCGCUGUGGUAAGAUUCAUCAUUGAAAACAAAACAAUUGAAUUCAUCAUGAGGCAUAAAGGGACUUUUUUUUUUAAAUGUGCAAUUCCAAACUUUUACUUUGGAAAAAAAAUGUCUUAACGUGUCCAUUUGUUGCAUGUGCAGACAAAUGACAUUGAAUGCAGAAACUGAAAAUCACUUCCAGACAAAUGUCAUUUUAUUUUUUUCAAUGUUUUUUCAACAAAACUGUCAUGUAGUGUCUUAUAUCUGUAAAAAAGUGUUAGAACUCUGUAUGUACCAUACAUACAUAUAUACAAAUAUAUAAAAUUAAUAUAUAAUUAGAUAUAAAAUAAUGAACUCCCCUUACUUUCACUCAAGGAAUGUGUUUGUAUUAGUGCUUUUUGUGCCAAAACAGAGAUUAGAUUAGAUAUUUGAUGGGUAAUGGGUUGUUUUCCCAGUUUUGAUUCAAUGAAAGCCAGUUUCACAAAACUGGGAUUCAGUCGUUCACCAAGCCAUAAGCAGGAUACAUGCAUCCAAAUGAUUUAGAUUUAUCUAAUGGCAGCCAGGAGUGAUGUAAAAAAACAUCACUGAAGUUUCCCACCUCUCUAUCUCUAACCUGCAGCCGCUCCCUGUGCAACAUAAAGGAACAGAUGUUUAUAAAGCAUUUAUCAAAGAGACAAUUAACUGUACCAUAUUAAACUUUAAACAAGUUUCCCAAAAUUUCCCCUCUCCAGUGGAGAAACAUGACAGCAGUAGUGUGCGAUGCAUGCAGGAAAUAAUGGGGUUUUUAUGACGUCUACAGAUGCAGUCAUUUGUGUGAAUUUGGGGUAUGAUUUAUUAUUCGAAUAAUAUUAAUAUUAAUAAUAAUAUUGUUAAUAAUAAUAAUAAUAAUUCUGUAAGUGUCUGAGAGACAGUUUAUAUGCCAGCCUUCUUACCAGGAUUAAGAGUAACUGUUAAUAAUCAUUGUGUAAAUUUUCUCAUGCAAUGAUUCGCCUUCAUCACUUUGAGUUAGUCAGUGACACUGUGUAAUUUUGAAGGCAAAUGAUUGACCUGAUGAAGUCUGUUAAUGUUAUUGUUGACAUGUUCAGGACCAAAAAUGUAUGUUUUUGCAUUCCUCCAUGUUUUGAUUGUGUCUGCCACUUGGAUGUUAAUUGUGUACUUCUAUCAAUUGUAAUGUAAGUAGAGGCCUUAAACACACAAUACACAUUUUUGCCAGGGCUAAGGAAUGAGAAUUGGCACACUAAGUGAUCAACGCAGGGUAAGAAAAGAGAGAAAAAGACAUUUCAAUCCAUUAUUUAAAACAACUUUAGUGUCAUCUAUGGAAAUAGAAAUCUGUGCAUAUGUUCUUAAUGAAUUUCUGAUAUACUGAACAAAUGAACAAAUUGAGCAAAAAAACUACUAAUAAUAAAACAAUAAAAACAUAUUUUACAGGAUAGAUUCAACCAUUUUGACCCAUUUCUUAUCAAAACAUAUUUUCUAAACUGUGCUGUUGUUUAUCUGUUGAUGUUUGGAUGCACCUCGUUUUACUUUUAUGUUUCAAAUGAGGUGUUUAAACAAAACAAAAAGCCCCCACUAAUCCUAUCUUGCCGAGGUCCUUUUACACUGUUAAGGUUGUAAUUCUGCGAAACCAGACCUUACUUUUUAUAUAUUAGUGGUACUUGAUUGUAUACAUGGUGCCAUUUGGGACCAAUGCCCAAGAAAUGAAGAAAACUGUAGGGGAACGAUUUUGUUACAUGUAUUAAGCUUCUUGUGUGUUUUUGCUCAUAUUUUUUAGGGUGUAAUUUUUACAUACCUGCUCCUUUGGCUGCUGCUGGCUUUUACACAUUAUAAACUGCCAUUCACCUGGUUAUAGCAAACAGUAGUAUAUUAAGAUGAGUCAUGUGCUCCUUCGGUCUUUAUUUAUAUUAACUUUAAAAAUAAAUCAAUGAAGAGCAGAUAUGUCGAGACAGUUGAAAAUCAAAUUCUUAAAAAAAAUCACAUUCUUUAAAAUAAAAUAGUCAAAUAUGAAUAUUAUGCUUCCUGGCAGGCCAGACUUUCUGCUGCUAAGCAGCUGAUAAGAUUAGUGAUGAUAUAAUGUACAAGCACAGCUUGUGGCACUGAAUAUUAAGUACAUUCAAUAAUACAAUUCAUUUGGGGAUAUUUUGGACUGUCAGAAAAAUGCAUACUUUCUAAAGACUCAGCACAGAAUGCUAGUCUGGUGUGGUUAAGUGUGCUGUGUCAGCGAUAAAUGACCACUAUGCCAAAAGUCUUUUAGGCCCAACACCAAGUUGUAGUGAUAAAACGUAUAUGCCUAGGGUUUAUGACCUCAGGGGAAUCGUCCAAAAUUUUGAGGUAAACAAAACAUCCUUAAUAAUGACAAAUAUCUCUUACUUAAAUUGUAAAUUAAAAUAGGCCAAAAGAUAGUUAAUGUUUUGCCCCAUUUUGACAGAGAUUAUGUAGUUUGUGUUUAAAUGUCAGCAAAUAGCUUCAAUAUGUGUAAACUGGAGAACUACUUUUUCAUGUAGUAGUCAAUAAAACACCGAGCUAACCUUGGUGUACAAUGGGUUAAGUCUGUGUCUGUUUUUGCAGAUCAACCUAAAAGUGACACUGGAAAGAUUUACCUUUGAAGAAGAAAAGAAAAAAAUUUCUGUUAUCUGCUAAAAUCAGCCAUAUCUUUCCCCUCUGAAGUACAUGAGAUUUUACUCAUUAGAAAGAAAGCAAGCACUCCUUGAAUCGUUUUCUUUAGAGUGACAGUGUGUAUGUUUCUCGACAUAUCAAAUUAUGUUCUCUCACAGGGAAGAGGUGGAUGAGUGGGUGGAUGAAAGGGAAGAUGCUGCUCCUCUGUGGCUAUUAUGAAACAGUGGCUGGUGGAUCCCAAAAGCAGCACAUCUCCUCCAGUCCGCUGUGCUGCAGAGACAGCGAUCCACAAGCUUUAUUUCUUUCCUUCUUAGAGCCCCCAACUGCCUCACAGCCCAAAACUAACCCUCAUAAAUGUUUUCCCUCACACACCAUCUGGUAGAUUAUCGCGUUCAAAGCAUUUCAUAUUACCAUGACUUAAUACAUUACACAGUUCGGUGAACCAAGUGAGAAUCAAAGUGCCAUGAGAAAUCAUAACUUUGUUUUUUUCUUUUCUUUUGGUUUUGUUUAGCUUUUUUUUUGUUCUAUUUUGUUGUUACUGUUUUUAUUUUAUGACUGUUUGGUGUAGAUUUAGCUCUCAUCUUUCUAGAUUAUAUCUCAGUCAUUCAGUUCUACACAAGUCUUAACUCACUGUUUUGCAAACAUGGUUGUUUUAUUUCCUCAGUGAUACAAAGCCAUCAUAUUAAAAAAUCCACAGCCUUAAAUUCUAUUCUUUAAAUCAUGUGGUGAUGUCUUCUAAAGGCAUAUGAGAAUUGUCUAAACCAUACAUAUUCCCAAGACCCCUAACAUAAUAAGGGAAGGCGAUGUUUUGGUUUUAAGAUGCGUAGUAUAAAACAGUUUUACAGGCCUUCUUAUGUUUUCAAGGACAUGUAAUAUGGGCAACGUCUGGAAGCAAUGUUACUGGAAAAGUUUUCCUUAGUGAUGAGUAUUUAUCCAGGGAAAAAUUGUUUUUGUCAGCUAUACUUUCAUUAGAUAAAUAAACCUAUCCAUUUUCUUUCUUCAUUGUCUUUAUUGUUGCACUUGCAAUUUUUGCUACUAGAACAUUAACAGCAGUAACAGUAAGGUAUUUUGCCAGGUAUCUGUUUAAACGCCAUAUUUUAAGAAUUGCCAAUCUGUUUAAAUAUUUGAAAUACUGAUUUGUAAGUAUAUUGCAUUUUUUUUAUUUACUUUAUUCCAGUAGAAUAGCAUUAACAAUCGUUAGCAUUAAAGUACAAAAAAGCUGCAAAAGUCCAUAUGCAUUGCUUUCCAUUUGUUGCUCAUGUUUUACUGACUUGAAGUCCUGAAUGUUAUCAGAAGAGUGACAAAAUGUUGUAACUUUAGUUUUAGUCACUGCGCUGUCAUUUAAAACACAUAUAUUUGCAGAUUCUUUGGGAAACCGUUAUAUUGUUGAGUAAAUGCACAAUUUGGUGUAUUGUUAUUCUAUUCCAGCUGUCAAUAAAAUAGUUUAACUCCA